rnacentral:lncRNA from 1 species
UUUUUUUUCUAGGUGGUGGGAGGGUGUGCAGGAUUGAUGUUUUAAUGGCCCGUUGCUGCUGAUUGAUUCGAAAAAUCGUUGGCCCGGUCAAAAUCGUAAAUCAAAUUCAAAAUUGAAUAUUUCAAUUGAAUGAAAGAGCUUCAAAAUUAGGGAACAUAGUGAAUUAAAAGAAUUAAAUGGGAGAAUUUGAGAAAUUGUUGACCCGGUCAAAAUUGAAUACCUCAAUUAAUUGUGAGACCUUAAAAUUUGAAAGCAUGGUGUAUAGUAUAAACGAAUUGAAUAAGAAAGCUUUGAAAAAUUGUUGACCCGGUCAAAAUCAGGUGAUUCAAUUGAACGUGAGCUCUUUAAAAUUAGGAAGCUUAGUGUUAUAGAGGAUACAUGUACCCCAUCAUUUUGGCAUCAAUGACACGCUUUACUUGGGGAAUUUCCAACACGGACCCGCAAACCUCCCGCAUACGUCCGGAGAGACCGCGUUACCCGUGGAAGUCAUCCAAUACGGUUUUGUAUCGGUCCAUGGUGCGAUCAGGAUGUACUUUCUUCCGCAAACCGGAGACAAACGUGGGGGACUUUGCGGGAGUCCGGGCUACUCUCACGUUCGCUUCUGACCUCCCUGGCCCAUCGAGACCCCUCCUCCCUCGCUCGCCGUGUUUGCAGAAACUUCAUCUGGUUUGUUAAAAAAGAGGUUAAAAUGUAUGCACCUAUGGUUCGAUGGCGGCCUCUCGCUUCCGUGUUCGCGGACAGAUGCAUGAGAAAUUUUGCGGGCUGCUAUUGGAGAUACCCUUACAUGACAUCCCCGCCUCGAGAGAUGUAGUAAUUGUUCUAGCAAGUCCCCAUACCUCGGAAGAUACAUUCCAAGGAUUUUCGUGCAUCAUUUUCUUUGUCGCCUAAACACUACUCGUACAUCUAAACAGAUUCUCCCAGCCUUCUAUACUUAGGUUCCUGGGCCAGCCCCAUGCAUACUUCAAAGUCUUUAACAUAGCAGACGGUUUGAACACCGUUGGAUCUCUGAUCCGAUGGCCCAUGUGCUCCUGGAACAUGGGGGCAUAUAAGCUCCGGAAGCACCGCAUCGUCAGCCACCUCAAACAGUCAAACUUUUUGGCUUCCUCCGUCACCAGAACCACAUCAUGGAGCUCUUCAUCCUUGAGAUCGGAUUGAGUGGAUUCUGACGAACGAAACACACGGCGAUCGAGGGCCUCACACGUACCCUUUAUUCUUCCUCCUCAUUGUCGAUUCUCUCCCCACCCCAGAUUAAACUAAGUUGUGUUCAAAUAAUUGCAUGACUUUUCCAUUUCCUAUCCUUACCAAAAAAAAAACAAUUACCUAUGUAAACAUACCUAUUUAUAUACGGAAAUCCCUACAUUUUAUGGUACAUUUUGUGAAGAGUAAUGACCCACCUCACAUAACCACCUGCACAAAAUCGCAUAAAACCAUAUGUUUUACACACUGCAAAAACAUAAACACUUGGCAUGUGGCAUUCAAUAAAAUCAGGAAAUAUAAUUACCUUUUUUGCUUGCACUUGUAUUUUGCGGAAUCUUUCAAAUCCAUGGAAAUUUAACCAAAAUUCAUCCAAGCAUUUUUUUAAGGCUAUAUCCAAAGAAUAUCUGUCCAGGAAAAUACCACUUGUGCAAAUAAAGAAGCCAAGUGCCAAUUUUCCUGGAACCUUCCUUCCUGGCGGCUCCAAACUCCUCUCCUCUCCAGCGCAAACAUCCCUCUCCCCGGCUCCCUUUCCUCUUCUUGGCCGGACGGACACCCACCCACCCCGAGCGAGCGCCUCCUCCAGGUACCGAUCCAUCCAACCAUUCUUGUUUAUUCGCGUCCGCGAGAUCGAAAUCCGCUAGCUUUCACCGGAAUCUCUGAGUGUUUUCUCUCGAUCGAUUUUGUGUGUUCCUCAUGGAGUCCAGCCGGCGCAAAUUGGUAUAGCUUGUCACGGAAUAGAGGGUGGGUGGGCGAGAUUCUCGCAUUCUUCCGCCCGAUUCGGGUUUUGGUUUCUCGAAAUUGCUCCUGNNNNNNNNNNNNNNNNNNNNNNNNNNNNNNNNNNNNNNNNNNNNNNNNNNNNNNNNNNNNNNNNNNNNNNNNNNNNNNNNNNNNNNNNNNNNNNNNNNNNNNNNNNNNNNNNNNNNNNNNNNNNNNNNNNNNNNNNNNNNNNNNNNNNNNNNNNNNNNNNNNNNNNNNNNNNNNNNNNNNNNNNNNNNNNNNNNNNNNNNNNNNNNNNNNNNNNNNNNNNNNNNNNNNNNNNNNNNNNNNNNNNNNNNNNNNNNNNNNNNNNNNNNNNNNNNNNNNNNNNNNNNNNNNNNNAAUUAUCUUGUGUGGAGCAAUCUGCUAUGAUGCAGUUUCUAGGUUAGAUGGUUCGCGUUGAAGGCCCCCCGAUUAUUUGCUCACGGAGCAAAAAAAUCUGAAUGUUUCAUGCUGUCGUUGGGAAAUUAGGAUGUUUUCGUUGGCACUAUGCGGACACAGGCGGCAUGAUGCCGUGAUUUCACAACCUUUACUUGAGAAGAAAUUCAUUGUCUAGCUUGCUCACAAGUCGGAGUAUGGUCCGGCAUAGAUCCUUUGUGGUAUUUGAUUGAAUAUUACUCCCUCCGUCUGGAAUCGGUUGACGCUCAAACGGAUGUAUCUACACGUAUUUCAGUGCUAGAUACAUCCGUUUGAGCAUCAACUAAUUCAGGACGGAGGAAGUAUGUGCUUGUAUGAAUGCUUGCAAUUUCAGAUUAUUUUCCUUUUAGGACCUGGGUUACUGUUUCGGUUGGCUGACGCUUUGUUCAUGUUCAGAUUGUCCUGCAAAAAUACUGCAUUUUAUGAUCGGAGAACUUGUGAGGAGCUCCUAGAAGAAGAGCCAAGUUGAUCCUGCAAAAUUGGAUAGCUGGUCCGGCAGGGCUGGCUUCAGAAGAUCAGCCACGGCUCUAAGGAGAGUAACCCGUGUUACACCAAGAAGGGAAAGGCAAUGUGUCCAUCGCUUUCCUAAGUUUCUGCUUGCAUCGCCUUCUUUCCACGGUGGCCGUGGUGCCCUCCCAUCUGCAGGGGGGCAUCCUUCUGAUCUGACCUACCUUGCUGGUGGUGGUGCUGCACAAUUCUGAAGUAGGCCUUUAGCAUCAUAGUUAGUUCAGUUAGUAGUCCAUAAUAUUAAGAGUUGUAAGUAUGGUGUCGGCCACCAAACUAGAAGGUGGAUAUUGUUUUCACAGCAAGAACUCUCCUCUCGAUCAACCUGAAGGUAAAUAAAAGUGCUUUGAACUUCCAAAUGUUUCUCUCUUUUCGGAAUGACUGUCUAUAAUAUUCUUUAAUCCUAGCAUCAUGAAUUUCUUCUUUUGCCUGUGUAAAACUGUAAUUGUCCUCUACACUGUUCUGGCACGAAAAAAAAAUUAGUAUUUUUUUUCUUGUCUAAGUAUUUAGUCAUCCUUUACUAUUUUCUGGCACCACAAACAAAACCAAAAAGGAUGAGCUGUGUAUGUAAACUUAUCCGUUUGUUUUUCCACAUAUUUGAACUCUCUGCCGAGUUAGAUAGCUACUCCCUCUGUUAGUGAUCUAAACGCUCUUAUAUUUCUUUACGGAGGGAGUAUGUUAUAGUUGAAUUCAAUGAUAUGCGCCUGCUUUGAUGCUACAAUUGCAGUUUGGAAUACUGAAGUAUCCCUAGAUAAUUUUACACAAGCACUUUCUUUUUACCAAACCUAGCUGUGUAAUCACCUUUAUUAACCCUUUAAAAUAACAGCACAUGGCCAGUUAUAUAUUAUUGUGGCAUUGUAGUAUUCAUACAUUUCUCUUUGAGCUUCAGGUGUGAAGAUACAUCUUUACCGUCUUGGAAUAGAACAGCGUGAACAUGAUGCCCUCAAAAGCUUUGCAUGUGCUGGUGAAGGCAGCCCAAGUUUACUUGAUACAAUCAUUCUUUCUCAGGUUUGUAUUACCUGAGAGUUCACACAAUCUUUAUGAGUUAUCAUGGCACCAUUUUUAAUAGAUGAUUUUCUUUGUAACAGUGGGAGAACUUUGCUCAGAAGGGCCAGUUGGGAUAUGAUGUUACUACUUGCGAACUUAAGGUGCUUCUUGGAUCCCCCCUAAUUCUUGUGUCCUAGAUCAAAGUAACUUUAAACAUUUGCUUGUGCAUGUUGGAUUCUGAUACCCAAACUAAAAAACACAAAGCCAGAGAUGUGAAAUAUAGUUUUAUACAUUUUAUACUUAACCUCUUCCCUUCCUCAGUUUCCACAAUCAAACUGCAGAGUGGCAUGCUAAUACCAAAUAUUCCUGCAACACCACCUACCAAAUUGUUCACAUUCCCACUAAUUGCCACUGUUGCUGCCCUCAUUGGAACAGUCUGCCUUUCCUGUGCUGCCAAUCGUGAUGGCUAUGGGGGGAUAGUACGGAUGGGGAUGUUAGGAAACAUAGCAGUGGGAAAUAAGAGAGAAAGGAGCGGGAAAGAUUCGAUAAAUAAUAGUGGUUGCCACUUAUAGUUAUCCACAUCUUAAAGCACAUAACUAUUUCAUCUUAGGUGGCAGAAGUUUAACUUUGAAGAAAUAUUGCGAUUCUAGAAGUGUAAUCAACCAACCAACAUUUUUUUCUGCCAGACAUACCAUUGACAGUCUGUUAAACUUAUGUAUUUCCCUUUCAAAAGGCUUAUUAAGCCAUCAAUCCUGUUAAUGAUAUGCCCUGAGCUUGACUGGAAUAAUUGGUUUUGAAUGGUUGUACAGGUCAUUGAAGGUCAAAGGGAUUUUGUUAUUCAGAUGAAUGAUAAAUGGAAUUCAUUUUCCCUCAAGAAAUAUGACAAGUUCGGCCAUCCUUUCGGAUGCUUGAAGCCAAAUUCUGCUAGAAGCUACGAGGAAUUACUUUUGUGCAUCGCAGAAGGAGAAAAUAAUGAACCGGAGGUUGUUCCUUCGAUUACACCCCCAAACAAUGGAGUACUGCUGAUCGCGAAUGUACGCACCUUAACCCCUAACCCCUCCCCAACCCUUUGUGAAUGUGAAUAUAGAUACAAGUGCUAGUUGCCAUCUGCAUCAUGUUUUUCCAUUUCUGAUGGACAUCUUUUCCUGAAGGCAUAUCCUGUUGAAUAUGGUCACAUUUUCUUGGUCCCAAAUGCAACUAAUCAGCUAUCUUCCUUUUGGGAUAAAAGGAUGUUUGGGCUGAUUACAAAGAUUGCCUCUGAAGUAAACAGUGCAGCGUUCCGGGUUUUCUUUGAUGAUGGUACAUCUAUUGUGCCAAAGCACAUGUUUUUUCAGGUAAUACCUUCUAGUUCUAGUGCUUAAUGUUUUGAACUUACUCCAAAGUACAUUACUAUUCACCUGCCAUGUGCUAUACAGACCUGAAUACCCAAUAUAAUGGGAGUACUCAUUUAGUUGUCUGGUGGUCUCAUCUUCACUAAGCAUUCGACUUUGUGCUGUAAUGUAUUGUCACCGAUUUACAGCAUACUUCAAAGUACUUUAAUUGCCAUGAUGAGUAAGAUUUUAAAGGGAAGAUUGAUCCUUGUAAUUGUUUUAUUGUUCUGUUAUUACUGAAUCAAAAUAACUGAGUAGAUUUUUUUCCAUAAUAAGAUAUUGCUAAGAUACUAGAACUACUAGUUUGCAGUGGUUGCUUAAGGAGAAUCUCAUGGUGUUAUUUUUGCUAAAUAUUACAGGCCUGUUACUUUGCCAAUCCUUUACCAGUGGAGUCUUCCUCAACUGUUGCAUUAUAUGAUGGGGCAACCAGAUCAGGCAUUUGUGUGUCUGAAAUAGUUGAUUACCCUCUAAAAGCACUUGUGUUCACGAGCACCAAUGUAAAUGCACUUGUCGAUGUAGUGAGUGAAGCAUGCUUGGCUUUGCAUGAGAACAAUACUGUGCACAGCCUAAUGAUGUCCAACAACGGCAGAAAUGUUUUCUUAUUCCCCCAGGUGAAACUCGCUAAUACAUUGUGUUCCAUCUCUAAACAAAUGUUUUAUCAACAAAGGAAUUGUUAGGUGUUAAUCUCUGGUGUUUGAUUUUAGGUGAAAAAUCUGGUCACUGGCUGCUGUCUUUCUGCCUGGGAGUGCUGUGGCUACUUUGUUUAUCACACCAAAGUUGAUUUCGACCGAGCUUCUGAGACCGGAAUUUCCAAUAGGAUGGCUUCGUUCUCGUUCCAAGAUGGUGACUUUGAAGACUUGAAGAAACUCUGCUGCGCUAUAGCUGAUGGCCUUGUUACCUAAGCCUGCACCGUAUGCAAGCAUCAACAAUGUGUGCAGCGGUUCAUUAUGUAAAAUCACCCAGAAUGUUACUGCAACUAUAAACAUAUCGUGUAUCAUGCUCUCCCAUUCCCCGUGUUUAGCGUGUUAUGCCUAAAUACUAUGAAACAUAUGUCUCAAGACAUCCGGGUUGAUGAAUAAAGCUUGCUGUUCUCCUCAUGAAUCAAUCUCUGAAUAUUUGCAAGGAUUGUGCAAUGAUAUUUCAGCUACUACAUUUGCAGUUUACAGAAUCAACUUUGCAGUCUGUGAGACAUUGAAUUACUUCAGAACUGAACCUGUGAUAUAGCAGAUGACUUGGUUUGUUUCAUGUGGUUUGCUUCAGAAGGCACAUGCCCUUGAUCUGAUAGCUUUGUUGCAGAAACAGUUUUUACGUGGAUGUGUUAUAAAUUUAUAUAGCUUGCAGUUGUUACUGGGAGUUCAAAGAUUGUAUGUAGAGAAGGAAAUCUGUUGCAGUUAUAAGUUGUGCAUCGACGUUAAGAUGGAUCUUAUCACUCAUUGCAUCGGCCGCAACAUCCUGAGGCAGCAUCAGAUUCAGCAGGGUUUGUUGCAUGAUGGAAAAGAAAAAAAAACAGAAAAUUGUGUAUGGUUGCAGCCGGUUUUCAUCUCGAUCCUAUGUAUGGUUGCAGCCGGUUUUCAUUUCAUGGCAGUUUGGACAGUAAGCCAGUUUCUUGUGUGUGAUGGUGGCAGUUUUGGACCAAAAAAAUCCCUAGAUUUAAAUGAAUUGCCAUGGCAGUUUUAAAAAAUGCCCCCUACCCCCUGGCGUCCUUUUUUUAAUGGCUUUAGAAGUCCAAUUGAGUCCAAACACAAUCAACUUAAAUAACUUGGAUUUUUAUGAAAUAACUACUGACCAAUAUUUUAUAUUUUUGAUAAUGGUGUUAGUUCGUUCUUGAAGAAUAUUCAAAUAAGGUUACAGACAAAUUUAAACAAGCCCAUAAUAAGUUUUAAUACCUUCGAAAAUACAACCACAAACAAGGGAAAUCAACUAUAUUUAUUGAUUGGCUAAUUUAUUCAACAUUCCAAAUUUCGAAAUAUUUGGAUGUUACAGACGGCUCGCCUUAAGAUCUUAUUGCACGUUGCUUCACAUCCUGAAGCAACUUGAGGCAGAAUCAGCAUGGAAAGAAGCAGGCGCAGUAACUAAGUUCAGGAUAUUGAUGGUCCGUGUCACACUCCGCAUACGGGUAACCCUCAUGUUCGCAGUCCUCUGUGCAUUGGUCACCCUUGCAUUGCGAAGUAGGGUACGUCUGGCUUAACCGCCUGCAGUGGCCUUCAGAUCCUGCUGUAAAAUAUGGGCAACAUUUGAAUAACAACAUUAGAAAACAAAACACUGAGAAACUAUUAUAUUAUUCAGAUAAUUAUUCCAGGCAAGGCUUACCAGGAAGCAAGAGGAGUGACAUGAGCAAAAUUAAGCACAAGCUUGCCAUCUUGACCUUGUCGACCUCCAUAUCUCCAGGAAUAAACACCCAAGCAAAGAAGGAUGGAAUUCCAAAUAGGUUAACUUAGUAGUGCACCACUGAUCCCUUCUUAUAGAGAUGGAUGAUGGAACCUUACAAUAAACCAAACAGAAAAGGUUGUAUAUAUCUGGAUGAUGCAAUGAUGUGUUGUGUAAAUUGAAAAGACACUAUAGGUUGUUGUGGGUUGGUGUGUGCGCGCUCGCACGCGUGCGUGGAAUGGUGCCUUUGUUGCUUAGGUGGAACCCUAAAAAACAGAAAUUGUCAUAUUUAUCUGGAUGAUGCAUGGUAUAUAUCCAGAAGAUGCAACGAUACAUUGUACAUUGAAGAAAAGACAUUCUCAGGGGUGAUAAAAGACACCCUAGGUAGUUGAUACAUGUGUGUGUGUGUGUUGGUGUGAGGUAUUGCCUGAUGUUUGUACUGCUCAAAAUGGUGCAUUUGUUGGUUAGACAGAACCCUACAAAAGGCAAACAGAAAAUGUCAUUAUAUGGAUGAUGCAAUUGUAUAUAUCCGAAUGAUGCAGCAAUGUGUCACACACUGGAAAAAGACACCGAGACAUGAUAAAAAGGCACCCCGGGUUAGUUGAUACAUGCAUGUCUUUUAUGUGAGGUAUGUCAUGAUAUUUGUAUCGCUCAAAAUGGUGCCUUUGGAUCUUAGCAGUAGGAAAAAAACACCCAGCGUAUCACGCAUUGGAUUAGGAAAUAAUGUUGCUGGGGUAAUUGCACUUGUCGAUGUAGUAAGUGAAGCAUGCUUGGCUUUGCACGAGAACAAUAUUGUGCACAGCCUAAUGAUGUCCAACCACGGCAGAAAUGUUUUCUUAUUCCCCAGGUGAAACUCGCUAAUACAUUGUGUUCCAUCUCUAAAUAAAUGUUUUAUCAACAAAGGAAUUGUUAGGUGUUAAUCUCUGGUGUUUGAUUUUAGGUGAAAAAUCUGGUCACUGGCUGCUGUCUUUCUGCCUGGGAGUGCUGUGGCUACUUUGUUUAUCACACCAAAGUUGAUUUCGACCGAGCUUCUAGUAGAAAUUCUGAAUUGGUAUAAUGGCUCUUUCUUACAUUACAACUUACAAUACAAGAGUUUCUUACAGGAGUGAAACAAAACUAAAAAAAAAGAUUAAAGAAUAACGUUUGACAAAAUGAUUAAUGCAAAAUGAUCCAUUAAAGAAAAGAAUUGAUACAACAAUUUGAUUACUUAAUCAAUUAGUAGUAUCCCUGCCAUGAUUUUCAAAUCUUUUCUAUUUAGUAGUCUAAGUUUCUCGAUGAGGAUAAUUAAUUCGGUCGUUGUGGUCGGACUCUAUUAUGGAUUUCUACUACAUUCUCCAUAGGUCCCUCUUAGAUCUUCUUUCUCCAAUCUUGGAUUAGGGAAGAAGGAGAUAUUCGCGACUACUGGCGAUUUCAUUAUGGGGCAGCUCAUGAUCUUCAUAUCGAUCUAUUGUCCACCUCUGUAUCUAUUCUUUCUUAGCUAAACAGGUGGAAGAUCUAUCCAAUUUGGUUAUAUUAUAUCAUGGACUCGCAAAAACGGAUCUGAAUUUGACUGAAAUGCACGAUCUUCACAGGUAUCACUUUUCACGAUACCUAAAAGGUGGAAUAGCGAUUUUCGAACCAUUUCCUAUAAGAGAAUGGUUUCCAUUACUUUGAGAAAUGGAUUCUUGAGACCGGAAUUUCCAAUAGGAUGGCUUCGUUCUCGUUCCAAGAUGGUGACUUUGAAGACUUGAAGAAACUCUGCUGCGCUAUAGCUGAUGGCCUUGUUACCUAAGCCUGCACCGUAUGCAAGCAUCAACAAUGUGUGCAGCGGUUCAUUAUGUAAAAUCACCCAGAAUGUUACUGCAACUAUAAACAUAUCGUGUAUCAUGCUCUCCCAUUCCCCGUGUUUGGCGUGUUAUGCAUAAAUACUAUGAAACAUAUGUCUGAAGACAUCCGGGUUGAUGAAUAAAGCUUGCUGUUCUCCUCAUGAAUCAAUCUCUGAAUAUUUGCAAGGAUUGUGCAAUGAUAUUUCAGCUACUACAUUUGUAGUUUACAGAAUCAACUUUGCAGCAUUUCUGUGAGACAUUGAAUUACUUCAGAACUGAACCUGUGAUAUAGCAGAUGACUUGAUUUGUUUCAUGUGGUUUGCUUCAGAAGGCACAUGCCCUUGAUCUGAUAGCUUUGUUGCAGAAACAGUUUUUACUUGGAUGUGUUAUAAAUUUAUAUAGCUUGCAGUUGUUACUGGGAGUUCAAAGAUUGUAUGUAGAGAAGGAAAUCUGUUGCAGUUAUAAGUUGUGCAUCGACGUUAAGAUGGAUCUUAUCACUCAUUGCAUCGGCCGCAACAUCUUGAGGCAGCAUCAGAUUCAGCAGGGUUUGUUGCAGAGGCUAGGUAGCCACUAAUGAUGGAAAAGAAAAAAAAAACAGAAAAUUGUGUAUGGUUGCAGCCGGUUUUCAUCUCAAUCCUAUGUAUGGUUGCAGCCGGUUUUCAUUUCAUCGAAGUUUGGACAGUAAGCCAGUUUCUUGUGUGCGAUGGUGGCACUUUUGGACGAAAAAAUCCCCAGAUUUAAACGAAUUGCCAUGGCAGUUUUUAAAAAUGCCCCCACCCCCUGGCGUCCUUUUUUAAUGGCUUUAAAAUUCCAAUUGAGUCCAAACACAAUCAACUUAAAUAACUUGGAUUUUUAUGAUAUAACUACUGACCAAUAUUUUAUAUUUUUGAUAAUGGUGUUAGUUCGUUCUUGAAGAAUAUUUCAAAUAAGGUUACAGACAAAUUUAAACAAGCCCAUAAUAAGUUUUAAUACCUUCGAAAAUACAACCACAAACAAGGGAAAUCAACUAUAUUUAUUGAUUGGCUAAUUUAUUCAACAUUCCAAAUUUCGAAAUAUUUGGAUGUUACAGACGGCUCGCCUUAAGAUCUUAU